rnacentral:rRNA from 1 species
GGAAAUACGUGUGAUGAAGUACAGUUAAGUAACACGUGUUAACGUACCUUUUGGAUCGGAACCACACAAGGUAAACAUCGGGGAAUACCGGAUCAGCCUUUCCGGGGAAACAUUUGUCAAUGGAAAGAUCGGUGCCGAGUCUGAUUAGAUAGGUGGCGAGGUAAUGACUAACCAAGGCGACCAUCACUAUACUGGCCUGAUAGGAUGAUCAGCCACAUUGGGACUGAGACACGGCCCAAACUCCUACGGGAGGUAGCCGUGGUCAAUAUCGUACAAUGGGGGCAACCCUGAUCCACCCAUGCCGCGUGAGUGAUGAAUGCCCUCGGCUUGUAACGCUCUUUUCUCCCGUAAGAUAACGACGGCACCGCUAGAAUAAGCCCCGGUUAACUUCGCGCCACCAGCCGCGGUAAUACGGAUGGGGCUAGCGUGGCUCGUCACCACUACCCGUAAUGGGUGCGUAAGGGGGUCUUUAAGUCCUGGGUGAAAUCUUGAAGUUCAACUCCAGAACUGCCUUUGAUACUGACGAUCUUGAGUUCCUUAGAGGUUUAAUGGAACUGCCCAGCCUACACCGUGAAAUAUCGAUCAAAUUCCGCAAGAACACCAUUUGAGUGAAAGGCAGCCUCACUGUCCGCCUAUCCUUUAAUCUUUUUUACCCAAAAUGCACUGCGGAAGCAAACCUGGAAUUAUGAUACGCCUGGCUAAGCCCUUUGCCGGGUAAUACAAACGUAUAUGCCCCGCCCGUC